AUUGGUUUUCUUUCCGUACAAGAGUGCGGUUCAGGACAUUUACUGGUUUGCGUUGAUACCUAUUCCCGUUUUUUGCACGUUAUAGAGUUGAGGCUCUCCUUCUCAACUCCUACUCAAUACGUCCACGUCGUGCAGAACGGUAACUUGUCGC
rnacentral:ribozyme from 1 species